CUCUCCUCGUCGAUCUCUCUCUCCCUCACUAGGAGAUCCUUUCUCCUUUUCUCCCUCUCUCUCAUUACCACCCCCAUACCCAUUCAUUUUUCCUCACCAUACCCAUACCCAUACCCAUUCCGAUUUUGGUUGAUGACAUUCAACUCUCUUUGGCUGAAGUCAAACUUGCUUGGUUACCCAUUCCGAUUUUGCUUGAUGACAUUCUUGCUUGGAUAGUGCAUAUUGUUGCUGCCAUCCUUAAGACUUUCCAAAUUUCUGGCUUCAGUAUGGAUGCUGCAAAUGCUAGACGGAUUGACCAUACACGGCCUGGCCCUAUUGACGAUUCGGUGUUAAAGUUGCAGUCCACCCAUCGGUCAGAAGCUAUAUGGAAUGGGCAGGAUCCAGGGGCCCUUACUUGCCGUGGCCGUACUGAAGAGUUCUCCAACCGAGAACCAAUGGUAGAUGAUCGAGUUGUUGACAUUAUUAAGGCAUUGGGCUUGGAGGGACUGCUGAGGCAGCCGGGUAGAGAGCUUGACCACGGCCUAAUUACAGC